rnacentral:tRNA from 1 species
AUUUAAAUAGUUUGAUUAAAAUAUUGGUUUGUGAUUCCAAAGUUGUACUUUGUACUUUAAAUA